rnacentral:rRNA from 1 species
UACGAAGGGGGCGAGCGUUGUUCGGAUUUACUGGGCGUAAAGGGCGCGUAGGCGGCUGUCAGUCAGGCGUGAAAGCCCCGGGCUCAACCUGGGAACGGCGCUUGGGACGGCGAGGCUGGAGUUCGGGAGAGGAGACUGGAAUUCCUGGUGUAGCAGUGAAAUGCGUAGAUAUCAGGAGGAACACCGAUGGCGAAGGCAGGUCUCUGGGCUGACACUGACGCUCAUGCACGAAAGCGUGGGGGAGCAAACAGG